AAAAAUAAAAAAAAAUUACAAACGCAGGAACAAUUUGAUUUCACCAAAUCAGGAUAAUGGUGUGGAACUUCCAACUUCCGAGCAGUUACAUAGAAUUUUAUAGUUUUGCAUUUUAUUUUUAUUAGUAAUUGUAAUUGUAUCUUUAAAAAAAGGAAGACAAAAAAGGAGAAGGUGGUUUACGAAGGAAAUAAGAAGGAAAGAAAGUGGUCCAAAAAAGACUGGAACCGAAAGUUAGAUUGGGAAGUUACCAUCCACUCAUUACUUCCCACUUCCACAUUGUGCAUCAAAAAGGUGGUUGCCAGUUUUAAAACUAUUGAGUAAGGCAUAUCUAUUUCAUUCGCCUUGUGUUCCAUUUGAUAGUUAGAAGAUGAUGCAACAGCAAAGGCUGAAACAACAAGCAUUGAUGCAGCAAUUCCUUUAUCAUCCUCGUCUCCUAGCACUCUCUUAUGGAAUUUUUCAAGUUGGCCCUUUCAAAAGUUUCACUUUUUUUCAAUUUCAUAUUUUGGUUACUGGCUCGAGUUCUUAAUCUUUACUGGGUUUAAUAGCCUGAAUAUCAACGACACUAUUAGCUACAAGCAUUGUAUUUUCAUUUAUGGGUUUUUGUUUUGUGAUUCUGGGUCCUAAUUGUUUUUCUUUUUCGUAUUUUGCUUUUUGGGUUGUUGUUUGUUUCAGCAUUGAGUUUGUGAUUCUGCGUCCAAAUUGGAGUUUCAGCAUCUCUCCGGGAACUUUUUUCGUUUUUGUUUCUAUUUUGCCAUUUUAUGCCUGUUCCCUGCUUGAUGUUAUUCCACAAUGAAUCUUAUUAAUGUUUUUCGCUUAAAGUUUUGCUUUGUUUCUUUUGUGGCUUUUCUUUGACUUGAAUUUGGUUGUUAUGUCGGCUUAUCGAUUUCAGUUUUAUUUCUUCGCAUCAAUGGAGUCGUUGCCAGGCAGAACAUGCAUUCAAAAGGUCACAGUUCAGUUGCUAACCUCUUAAACGAGAUUCGGAGCAUUUGAGCAGCAAAUGGAACUUAGGGAGAGCGGUUUGUACUCAAGAUAUGAGAAUAAGCAUGAUGAAUUUGUUACUGGGAAAGUCCUAUUUUCAGGAGACACCGGCCAUGAUCACAUUGAUAAGGUCUCAUCUGAUCGGCUGGCGUGUUUUUUCUCUCUGCUAUUUUAUGUCAUUUUAUCCUUUAUAAUUGACACACCAACUAUAUUCUCCACUAGCAAAAAGUGAAGGAUAAUAAACGAAGAUGAAUGAACAAAAUAAGAAGUUGCUGGCGAAUGAGAGUGCGUAUAUACAAAGCUGUGUUUAGCUUGAACAAUGUAUUACUGUCCGCGAAGGAGAAUCUUGGAUCCGAUAUCUUCGUACAAAGUGGGCAAGACGAAUAUUAUUGCCUGCCCGAAAAUUAUUGUUACUUUUUUUAAUCCUUUGAUUGCUUUUUGCACUACAUGUAGAGUUAUAGAGAAUCUAUUAUACAUAUAAGAACCUUUUCCUUUUUUUUCUAAGCAUGAUUCCACCAUUUAAUAACAUUUUGUCAAUGGUUGCUUUGUCAUUAAGUUAUUUCAAUUAGUUAUUGAUAGUAUAUGUUAGAGACCUCACAACUGGAAUUGAGAAUGCUCUUUAAAUAAUUGUGAACGCAGAAA